UGCCAGCAGCCGCGGUAAUACGAAGGGGGCUAGCGUUGUUCGGAAUCACUGGGCGUAAAGCGCGCGUAGGCUGGUCUGUAUGUCAGAGGUGAAAGCCCGGGGCUCAACCCCGGAAUUGCCUUUGAAACUGCAGACCUUGAAUAUUGGAGAGGAUAGUGGAAUUCCUAGUGUAGAGGUGAAAUUCGUAGAUACUAGGAGGAACAUCAGUGGCGAAGGCGACUGUCUGGACAAUUAUUGACGCUGAGGUGCGAAAGCGUGGGGAGCAAACAGGAUUAGAUA
rnacentral:rRNA from 1 species